rnacentral:rRNA from 1 species
UGGGGAAUUUUCCGCAAUGGGCGAAAGCCUGACGGAGCAAUACCGCGUGAGGGACGAAGGCCUGUGGGUUGUAAACCUCUUUUCUCAGGGAAGAAGAUCUGACGGUACCUGAGGAAUCAGCAUCGGCUAACUCCGUGCCAGCAGCCGCGGUAAGACGGAGGAUGCAAGCGUUAUCCGGAAUUAUUGGGCGUAAAGCGUCCGCAGGCGGUUUCGUAAGUCUGUCUUUAAAGCGUGGAGCUUAACUCCAUAAAGGGGAUGGAAACUGCGAGACUAGAGGUAGGUAGGGGUAGAAGGAAUUCCCAGUGUAGCGGUGAAAUGCGUAGAUAUUGGGAAGAACACCAGCAGCGAAGGCGUUCUACUGGACCAAACCUGACGCUCAUGGACGAAAGCU